UACAGAGGGUGCGAGCGUUACUCGGAAUUACUGGGCGUAAAGCGUGCGUAGCCGGUUAUGUAAGUCGGGUGUGAAAGCCCCGGGCUCAACCUGGGAAUUGCAUUCGAGACUGCAUAGCUAGGAUGCGGAAGAGGGAAGUGGAAUUUCCGGUGUAGCGGUGAAAUGCGUAGAUAUCGGAAGGAACAUCAGUGGCGAAAGCGACUUCCUGGUCCAGCAUCGACGUUCAGGCACGAAAGCGUGGGGAGCAAACAGG
rnacentral:rRNA from 1 species